rnacentral:rRNA from 1 species
UACGGGGGAUGCAAGCGUUAUCCGGAAUCAUUGGGCGUAAAGCGCCUGUAGGUUGUUUAGUAAGUCUGUUGUUAAAGACCAGGGCUUAACCCUGGGAAAGCAAUGGAAACUACUAGACUUGAGUAUGGCAGGGGUAGAGGGAAUUUCUAGUGUAGCGGUGAAAUGCGUAGAUAUUAGAAAGAACACCGGCGGCGAAAGCGCUCUACUGGACCAUUACUGACACUCAGAGGCGAAAGCUAGGGGAGCAAAAGGGAUUAGAUACCCCUGUAGUCCUAGCCGUAAACGAUGGAUACUAGAUGUUGCGCAAUUUGUGCAGUAUCUUAGCUAACGCGUUAAGUAUCCCGCCUGGGGAGUACGCUCGCAAGGGUG